CAGCCGCCACGGUAAUACGAAGGGGGCUAGCGUUGCUCGGAAUGACUGGGCGUAAAGGGCGCGUAGGCGGCGGCCAAAGUCAGGCGUGAAAUUCCCGGGCUCAACCUGGGGGCUGCGUUUGAUACUUGGUUGCUUGAGUGGGGAAGAGGGUCGUGGGAUUCCCAGUGUAGAGGUGAAAUUCGUAGAUAUUGGGAAGAACACCGGUGGCGAAGGCGGCGACCUGGUCCUUUACUGACGCUGAGGCGCGAAAGCGUGGGGAGCAAACAGGAUUAGAUACCCCUGUAGUCCCUGUCUCUUAUAA
rnacentral:rRNA from 1 species